GCUGAGGCGACUCAGUGGUAGAGUGCUUGCCUUGCAUGCAUGAGGCCCUGGGUUCGAUUCCUCAGCA
rfam:Dipodomys ordii contig_21990, whole genome shotgun sequence.